rnacentral:rRNA from 1 species
UACGUAGGGUGCGAGCGUUAAUCGGAAUUACUGGGCGUAAAGCGUGCGCAGGCGGUUUUGUAAGGCAGAUGUGAAAUCCCCGGGCUCAACCUGGGAAUGGCAUUUGGGACUGCAAGGCUCGAGUGCGGCAGAGGAGACUGGAAUUCCUGGUGUAGCAGUGAAAUGCGUAGAUAUCAGGAGGAACACCGAUGGCGAAGGCAGGUCUCUGGGCUGACACUGACGCUCAUGCACGAAAGCGUGGGGAGCAAACAGG